rnacentral:rRNA from 1 species
UACAGAGGUCUCAAGCGUUGUUCGGAUUCAUUGGGCGUAAAGGGUGCGUAGGUGGCGUCGUAAGUCAGGUGUGAAAUCUCGGGGGCUCAACCCCGAACUGCACUUGAUACUGCGAUGCUCGAGUACUGGAGAGGAGAUUGGAAUUUACGGUGUAGCAGUGAAAUGCGUAGAUAUCGUAAGGAAGACCAGUGGCGAAGGCGAAUCUCUGGACAGUUACUGACACUGAGGCACGAAGGCCAGGGGAGCAAACGGGAUUAGAAACCC